AGUCUACAGUCAGAGGCGACCAAUCAAAAGGCGCAACUGUCUACAGUCACUGUAGACUUUUGCACCACUGUAGACACGACCUCUGCGAAUUCCCCAAAUGUGGGAAUCUCGACUGCAUAAUUUCUGGUAGUGGGGGACUGCGUUCGCGCUCUCCCCUC
ensembl:snRNA U1 U1 spliceosomal RNA